GAUGAACGCUAGCGGCAGGCCUAACACAUGCAAGUCGAGGGAGGAGCUUUCGGGCUUCGACCGGCGUACGGGUGCGUAACGCGUAUACAAUCUGCCUUUCACAUAGGGAUAGCCCGAAGAAAUUUGGAUUAAUACCAAAUGGUAUAUAGAGGUGGCAUCACCUUUAUAUUAAAGCUGAGGCGGUGAAAGAUGAGUAUGCGUUCUAUUAGCUAGUUGGAGAGGUAACGGCUCCCCAAGGCGACGAUAGAUAGGGGUUCUGAGAGGGAUAUCCCCCACACUGGUACUGAGAUACGGACCAGACUCCUACGGGAGGCAGCAGUGAGGAAUAUUGGACAAUGGUCGGAAGACUGAUCCAGCCAUGCCGCGUGCAGGAAGACGGCCUUAUGGGUUGUAAACUGCUUUUGCAGGGGAAGAAUAAGGACUACGCGUAGUUUGAUGACGGUACUCUGCGAAUAAGCAUCGGCUAACUCCGUG
rnacentral:rRNA from 1 species